rnacentral:sRNA from 1 species
AGAGUCUGUAUUCGAUGCACCCGGAGGAACGGAAGGCAGGAUUGCAGCUUCCUCAGUGCAACCUCCAAACAGGAAAUCUGAGAUGUAUAACAUCUUAUAGUUUGGCUUGUCAACGUUGGUCAUGCGGUGGCCCCAAAAUAAACUCCCUGCUUCAAAGGAGAGCGUUUCAGAACUGCCUGGCAGAGCAGCCAGAAGCUUGGGGCCAGGGCAGAAGGAAAACUCGGGGAGCAUGUUCUGAAUUAAGACACUUUCAAGAAAAUCCUUUGUAUUACCCUGAAUUGUACCCUUGUUUCAGAGCCUAACAGAUGUGGAGACUAAGGCCCAACUUAGAAGAGAGCCGGCUGUGAAUGAACCAGGGCUGUGUGAGGGUAAUGACAUGGAUAAUUGGCCAAUGUA